AACACUUAAACUAAAUGAAUUUUAUUGAUCUCGUUGUUGACAACAAUUAUGAAAGAAGCACACAACGAUAUGUAAGGAUAAAACCUUUGUAUAAAUAAGCAAUAAAAUUGGACGACAAGAGGGUCAAGGAAUUUAGAUUUUCCUUGUUGAAAUGCUAAUUAUUCAAAUAAUUUAUACUUGAUCCGAUCAUUUUCCCGAUCUCUGCUUUAAUAAUUCCAUGGUCAAUUAUCAAUGGGAAGUUAGUUCUUGACUGAUGCUGCAAAACAAAUGAAUAAAAAAUCAAAUUAACAAAAAAAAAAAAAAAACAUUAAGUUGAAAGAAAUAAACAAUCAAUUUUUUUUGGAUGAGUUUUCAUUCUAAAAUUUCGACUCUACGAUCCCUUCAAUUUCUAGCAUCAAAACUAUUAAAGUAAGGAAUGCGAAUCUUAUCAAACACACUAAUUUCAAGAAUAAAGGUUAAAUUUUGCCUUGCAACUAAAAUUUAUCUCACUUAAAAAAUUAAUUAUUGCCUUAAAGAAAACAAACAUUUCUGUUGAGAUUGAAGAAAAUACCAAUAGUCUUUUCCGUGCAAUCAUUGUUGCAUUUCUGAUGACAUGAAGCAUUGGCAUUGCCUUUUGCAUCACAUUCUUUCCUGCAUGUUAGUACACAUGAUUCCAUUUGAGGCCAUAGUUUCAUUCCUUCGGCGAUACUUUUGAUCUUUUCGGCCGCCUGAAGAUCUGGGCUCAUGUUAGCGGUCGUCUGUGCCUUGGAGAAUUGUAGUGAUCCCAUCACAACAAUGCACAUAAAGAAAACAACCAUAAUGUUUUUUGCCAUUUUUUAGUUUUAGCUUUCUGUAAGUCUAUUUUUUUUUUUUUUGUUAUGGGCUUUAUGGUGUGAGGAAAGGAGAAGACCAUUUUAUAGCAAUUUUAGUUGUUAAAUUUAGAUUAUUUAGCAAAAAGUAGGGUUUUCUCUCACUCUCUCUCUCUCUAUUUGUAACAAGUGGCCCGUGCAUGUUUGUUUGUUCUCUAAAUACAAGCAGAGGAAGAAAGGGUCAUGACAUCAAAUAAAAUGGUUGUGUUGACUAAAAAUGAUGUCUCAAAUUAAAGGAGAAUAAAAAAUGAAAGCAUAUACAGCCUAAAGUGUGUAACAAACGUGAAAACUCAAAGGUCAAGGUCGAUGUUAAUUUUAUUCUUUCACGAACAAAUAAUUGUUGAAAACAUUCCUUUUUGAACUACUCCUCUUUUACGGAAGUCCCUUGUGUCUUUAAUCUCCAUGAUGUGGUUAAUUUACUUUACCAAAAGCAAUAACAAUACUAAUUAUUUCAAAAUAGUUUUACGUUGUAAAAAAAUAUAAAAGAAAGAAAGAAGGUGUGGUUAAUUUAAUAGAGAGUGCAUUGAGUCAAUUAUAGAAUUCAAAACACUCAUCACAAAUUUAAUCAUAAACAAUAUACCUCAAACCCGGCCCCAAAGUAUUUAGGGCACAUUAAUAUGAUUUCAAUUUUACCCAAAAUACAACCAAAUAUCAUUCCUCUUAUAUGCAGUUGAAAUAUACGUACAACUUCUCAUUUUUCUAAUUAAGAAUUUAAUUCAAUCAAUUUUUACCUAAGAACAUUCUUUUUUUUUCUUUUUACCAUUUUCUCCCUUCCUAUAUCUUUCACCAAUUUCCUAAUUUUUCCAACCCAUCUCCCCAUCUCGAAUUUUCUCUUUAUUAUUUUGCAUCCAAAGACGAAUAUUCUUCUAUCAUCUUAACAAACUUUCAGUUUUCUCUUUACAGUAUGAAUUACCAAUUGAAAAUAAACUGAUCUUAAAAUUGUUAUUAAAUUAAAGCAAUAAAACAUAUCAAUAAUCAUAAACCUAAUCUCUUUAGUAAUAUAUAAAAAACUACAAACGAAUAUUGAACAAACACGUGUGACAAAGAACUCACAAAUUGAAUAAUAAGGUGACAUAUUCACAAAAUUUCUUCUACAUAAAUAAUUAUGUAAAAUGACAUAAAUAAUUGUUGGGAUUUAUAUCCUAAAACUUGUAGAUUGUAAAUAUAAUCCAUUGACCGUUAUUAAUAUUAUUAAUAAAGUGUUAUUAUUGUAAUAAUUGUUAUUGAUUAAACUAUUAAUUUUGUCUUAAUAACUCAAAUCCAAUAAACUAACAUCCUAAGCUGUUUAAUGAGUCUUGAUGAGUAUGUAGAGACAUACAAAGAUCAAUGUUCAAGAACAACUUAAAAGGUCUAUAGUAUAGAGAUAAGGUUGGGUACCUUAUCCUGGUAACAUUAUUGAUACGGCUCACUUUGUAAUUGAUACAAACGCAAUGAUCCAACGCGUUCGUGUAGUUGGCAUGAGAGUGAGGGUAUCCUAUGCAAUGAGUUUGCUUAAGAUCGGACCGCGACACUAGAUGUAACUCUGUUAACUAGUUAGGUUUCUAUUUCACUUGGAUGACCAAGGUAACUUAGUAUUAAUGCUGAGUGUGUUAUGAACUCUUGUUCGCGAGAGAUUGUCCUUUGAUUUGUACGGGUGAGAGUGGCCAAAUCGUCGACUCAUAAGCUUAUCAUUUUGGGGACAAGACCGAGUGGGGAGCUGGGAACAUAAAUACACAAGAUGGAAUUCACUUAUUUCCUACUUUAGGGUAAGUAUAUGAGUGUUUCCUUAAAUGGUGUCUCCAGGUCUUGAACAAAGGGUCCUACCCUCUCUAUAGCACAAGAGGGGUUUUCGUUUAUUGGUAGGACCUGAAACAGAUUAUUCGUUGGAGGAGCACAGGUAUUUAAGGAUUAGAGGUAACCCGAGGGUAAAACGGUAAAUUGACCCAGCUGGUGUUAGAACACUCGUGAAGGACUAACUUACUGUUAUUGGUCUAGUGAUACAUUAUAAUAUAAAGUUUGUGAAACUUUAUUAUAUAAAUUUAAUUUUAGAUAUGAAUCAAAAUUAAUUUAUGAGAGAUAAAAUAUUUGAAUGGGUUCAAAUAUUAAUUUAAUGUGAAUUGGAUUCAUAUUAAAAUUAUUAUGAGAGAAGCUUAUAUUUGAAUAUGAUUUAAAAUUUAAUUUAAGUUAAAUAUAUUCCAAUUAAUUAGAUAGAGAAUUAAUUAAUAAUUUAGUUUUAUUUAACUAAAUUCGAUUUAAUUAAAUUUAUAAAAUAACAUUGUAGAGAUAUUCAUUCAAAUAAGAUUUGAAUGAAAUAUUAAUUAAAUAUGAUUUCAUUAAUUAUAUUAAUAUAAAUGUAUAAGAUAUUGAAAAAUAUUUAUUGAAAUAAAAUUUGAAUGAAAUAUUAAUUAAAUAUGAUUUAAUUAAUUAUUAAUUAGUUAGUAGAUUUGGUAUUAGGAAUCUCAUUAUUCUCUCAUGCUCCUGUUCCUAUUUCAAGAAGGAAAGAGAACUAUAAAUAUCUAGAAGAAAACAGUUUUCAUCAACCGAACGAAAUUCAUUAAGAAAAACAAGCAAAGGCUUUUUCUCUCUGCAAAAAGAGUUUCUCUCAAAUAUUUUCAACUCUUUUCUCAUCCCAAUUGAUUCCCACAAACCAAUCUCAUCCCAAAGGAUAGGAAGGUCUUCGACGGGUGGUGUCCCAAUUUGAUGAUUGAUUUGUAAAUUCAUAGAUGUCAUCAAAAGUAAGUUCUAUGUAUCUUAUUCUUUAAAAGCAUGCUUAGAAUUUUUUUAGAAUUUAUGAUUCUAAAAUUUUGCCAAUGUACCGGUAUUCUUAGAUUUCCAAAUUAAUUUGAGAAACAGUUCUUUAAAUUAUUCCGCUGCCAUAGGGCUUUUAUCCCUUCAAUAAUUAUGUGUGUUCAAAUCAACAUCAUAAAAGAGAAAGGUAAUACUUUUACCGUCCAAACGGUUUUUUUUUGUAGAGGGCAGGUGGUUCAACAAAAGAAAUGCAAGAAUACAUGGAACAUUUUCUACAUACAAGCAACCUUUCUUCGUAGGCUAUAGCAUUGACCAAUUUUUCAACGCUUUUGGACGAAAAUAAAAAUCGACUCUCGAGCAUAUUUUUUUUCGGCUUUUGUGGGCAAGAAACUUUAAUGUCACUCAAACGAGACAACCCAGUAGGUAGAUGUGAAUUUUUGAAAACUUUGGCAUCGUUCAAAAUUGGGUCCUUUCUUCGUAGGCUAUAGCAUUGACCUCUUUUAUAACUUUUUGGAGCGAAAAUAAAAACCGACUUUGGGCUUUUUUUUUUUUUUUUUUUUGGCUUUUGUGUGCAACAAACUUUAAUGUCACUCAAAACGAGACCACCCACUUGUUAGAUAUGAAUUUUCGAGACUUUCGACAUUCUUCUAAAUUGGAUCUUUAUUUCGUGGGCUAUAGCAGUGUCCCUUAUUUUAACGUUUUGGGACGAAAUUAAAAAUCAACUCUCGUACAUUUUAUUUUCGGCUUUUGUGGACAAAAAACUUUAAUGUCACUUAAAACGAAACCACCUAGUAGUUAGAUGUGAAUUUUCGAGACCUUUGACACCGUUCUAAAUUAAGUCCUUGCUUGGUAGGCUAUAGCAUUGGCCCAUUUUUCAAUGUCUUGGGAUGAAAGUGAAAACUGACUCUCAGACAUAUUUUUUUUCGGCUUUUGUGGGAAAAAAACUUUAUUGUCACUCAAAAUGAGAUCAACCAGUUGUUAGAUGUCAAUUUGUCAGACAUGUAGCACCGUUCUAAAUUGGAUCAUUUCUUCGUAGGCUAUAGCAUUUGUCCAUUUUUCAACGUUUAGGGACGAAAGUAAAAACCGACUCCCGGGCAUAUUUUUUUCGACUUUUGUGGGCAAGAAACUUUAAUCUCACUUAAAACAAGAUCACCCAGUAGUUAGAUGUGAAUUUUCGAGAUCUUUGGUACCGUUCUAAGUUGGGUCCUUUCUUCGUAGGCUAUAGUAUUGGCCCAUUUUACAACGUUUUGGAACUAAAGUAAAAAUCGAAUCUUGGACUUUUUUUUUUUUUUUUUGUCAUUUCUGGGAAAGAAACUUUAAUGUCACUCAAAACGAGACCACCCAGUAGUUAGAUUUGAAUUUUUGAGACCUUUGGCACCGUUCUAAAUUGAGUCCUUUUUUUCGUCAGUUAUAGCAUUGGCCCAUUUUUCAACGUUUUGGGAUGAAAGUAAAAACCGACUCUCGGGCAUUUUUUUUUUUUUUUUACUUUUGUGGGCAAGAAACUUUAAUGUCACUUAAAAUGAGAUCACCAGUAAUUAAAUAUGAAUUUUCGAGAACUUCGGCAUCAUUCUAAAUUGGAUCCCUUUCUCGUAGGCUAUAGCAUUGGCUCCUAUUUCAACAUUUCAGGAUGAAAAUAAAAAUCGACUCUCGAACAUAUUUUUUUCGGCUUUUGGGGCCAAGAAACUUUAGUGUCACUUAAAACGAGAUCACCUAGUACUUAGAUGUGAAUUUUCGAGACUUUUGGCACCAUCCUAAAUUGGGUCAUUUCUUCGUAGGCUAUAACAUUCGCCCAUUUUUCAAUGUUUUAGGACCAAAAUAAGAAUCGACUCUCAGACAUAUUUUUUUUCGGCUUUUGUGGGCAAGAAACUUUAAUGUCACUCAACAUGAGGUCACCCAGUAGUUAGAUGUGAACCUUCGAGACCUUUGACAACGUUGUAAAUUGGGUCAUUUCUUUGCAAGUUAUAGCGUUGGCCCUUUCGUCAACAUUUUGGGACGAAAUUAAAAACCGACUCUCGGGCAUAUUUUCUUCGACUUUCAUGGGCAAGAAUCUUUAAUGUCACUCAAAACGAGAUCAUCCAGUAGGUAGAUAUGAAUUUUCGAGACGUUCGACACCGAUCUAAAUUGGGUCCUUUCUUCGUAGGCAAUAGCAUUGGCCCAUUUUUCAACGUUUUGGGACCAAAAUAAGAAACGAAUCUCAAGCAUAUUUUUUUGGCUUUUGUUGGCAAGAAACUAUAAUGUCACUCAACAUGAGGCCACCCAGUAAUUUGAUGUGAACCCUCGAUACCUUUGGCACCGUUCUAAGUUGGGUCCUUUAUUCUCAGAUUUUGGCAUUGGCCCUUUUUUCAACGUUUUGGGACGAAAUUAAAAACCGACUCUCAGGCAUAUUUUCUUAUGCUUUUAUGGGCAAGAAACUUUACUGUCACUCAAGAUGAGACCACCCAGUAGUUAGAUGUGAACUUUUGAUACCUAUGGCACUGUUCUAAAUCGGGUCCUUUCUUCUCAGGCUGUAGCAUUGGCCCUUUUUUCAACGUUUUGGAACGAAAAUAAAAAUUGACUUGCGGGCAUAUUUUCUUCGACUUUUAUGGGCAAGAAACUUUAAUGUCACUCAAGACGAAACCACCAAGUAGUUCGAUGUGAACUUUCGAGACCUUUGGCACCGUUCUAAAUUGGGUCCUUUCUUCACAGACUAUAGCAUUGACCCAUUUUUCAACGUUUUGGGACCAAAAUAAGAACCGACUCUCAGGCAUAUUUUUUCGGCUUUUGUUGGCAAGAAACUAUAAUGUCACUCAACAUGAGGUCACCCAGUAGUUUGAUGUGAACCUUCGAGACCUUUGACACCGUUCUAAAUUGGGUCAUUUCUUCGCAGACUAUAGCAUUGACCUUUUCUUCAACGUUUUGGGAUGAAAAUAAAAACUGGCUCUCGGUAUAUUUUCUUCCGCUUUUAUGGGCAAGAAAUCUUAAUAACUCUCAAAAUGAGGCCACCCAGUAGUUAGAUGUGAACUUUCGUGACUUUUGGCAACAUUCUAAAUUUAUGAUGGAGGCGGAUGUUUUAUAAUAGAUAAAUAAAUAAACCAACAAAAUUAAUUAUCCCCUAUGAUCUAACAAAACGUGAUCAUCCUAGAGGUAUUUGUAUGAAUGACGAAUAUAUUUGAGAUUUAUUUUCUUGGACGAAAUUGCAACAAAUUUUCCUCUAAAUAAAUGGAAUAUCUCAAAGUCGGAUUCUCAGUUAGUUAUCCGAUUGUACCCUAAAAUUGAAACUCAAUCUUUGAUGUGCCAAUGCACUUUAGUCUCAUCUAUAUGAGAUUUGGGAAUUAAGUAUAAGCCUAAGAAAAGGAGAAUUGUAAGGUUUAUAAUUUGGUAACUAAAAUCAGAAGUUUGCAUGAGGUUUUGAAGUAUAAUUCAUAUGAAUAUUAUUCACAACAAUUUUCAAUAGUGUUUGUUUUGUUUUAUAUAUACGAAGAAGAUUUCUAAUACAAAGUGAUGUAUAUGCACUGGAGCCUCGUUUGUAAUGAAUUUUUUAAAGCUAAAAACUUUGGUUGUAUUAAAAUUGAAGCUAACAAAGAUUAAUUAAUUUUAAUCAAAGUGUCAAAUACAAGAAAUGAAUUUUUUAUUUUACUUUUGAAAUAAAAAUAGAGGAGAACGAAACAAUCACGAUUAGAAUAGAAUGGAAAUUUGUAUCAAUCAUGAUUAAAAUAAAAAUGAAUCUUCAUGUAAUUAAGAAUAAAUUUCAAUGGAUGUUUACCUAAUAACAUUCUUUUUUGUUUCUUUAAUCAAUUUCUCCCUUCAUAUGUUCUUCACCAAUUUCCUAAUUUUCUCAACCCAUCUCCCCGUCUCCAAUUUUCUCUUUAUUUUUUUUUCCAAUCCAAAGGCUAUGAAAUACCAAUUGAAAAUUAUAAACUUCUGUUGAAAUUGUAAUUAAAAUAAAAGCAGUAGAACAUAUCAUAUCACUUUAAUAAUAUAUCAAAAACUACAAAUGAAUAUUAAACAAACACAUGUGACAAAAGAACUCGCAACUUGAAUAGUACUGUAAUAUAUUUAUAAAAUUUCUUCUAUACGUUAGGAUUAUAUAAUAAAUGUAAAAUGAUAGAAAGGUUACGUGAAUAAACACUUAAACUAAAUGAAUUUUAUUGAUCUCGUUGUUGACAACAAUUAUGAAAGAAGCACACAACGAUAUGUAAGGAUAAAACCUUUGUAUAAAUAAGCAAUAAAAUUGGACGACAAGAGGGUCAAGGAAUUUAGAUUUUCCUUGUUAAAAUGCUAAUUAUUCAAAUAAUUUAUACUUGAUCCGAUCAUUUUCCCGAUCUCUGCUUUAAUAAUUCCAUGGCCAAUUAUCAAUGGGAAGUUAGUUCUUGACUGAUGCUGCAAAACAAAUGAAUAAAAAAUCAAAUUAACAAAAAAAAAAAAAACAUUAGUUGAAAGAAAUAAACAAUCAAUUUUUUUGAAUGAGUUUUCAUUCUAAAAUUUCGACUCUACGAUCCCUUCAAUUUCUAGCAUCAAAACUAUUAAAGUAAGGAAUGCGAAUCUUAUCAAACCACUAAUUUCAAGAAUAAAGAUUAAAUUUUGCCUUCCAACUAAAAUUUAUCUCACUUAAAAAAUUAAUUAUUGCCUUGAAGAAAACAAACAUUUCUGUUGAGAUUGAAGAAAAUACCAAUAGUCUUUUCCGUGCAAUCAUUGUUGCAUUUCUGAUGACAUGAAGCAUUGGCAUCGCCUUUUGCAUCACAUUCUUUCCUGCAUGUUAGUACACAUGAUUCCAUUUGAGGCCAUAGUUUCAUUCCUUCGGCGAUACUUUUGAUCUUUUCGGCCGCCUGAAGAUCUGGGCUCAUGUUAGCGGUCGUCUGUGCCUUGGAGAAUUGUAGUGAUCCCAUCACAACAAUGCACAUAAAGAAAACAACCAUAAUGUUUUUUGCCAUUUUUUAGUUUUAGCUUUCUGUAAGUCUAUUUUUUUUUUUUUUGUUAUGGGCUUU
rnacentral:lncRNA from 1 species